GCUUUGGUGGCGGAAUUGGUAGACGCGGCGCACUCAAAAUGCGUUGUCCUGUGACAUGAGGGUUCGAUUCCCUCCUGAAGCAC
rnacentral:tRNA from 1 species